rnacentral:rRNA from 1 species
UGGGGAAUUUUGGACAAUGGGGGAAACCCUGAUCCAGCCAUCCCGCGUGUGCGAUGAAGGCCUUCGGGUUGUAAAGCACUUUUGGCAGGAAAGAAACGUCGCGGGUUAAUACCCCGCGAAACUGACGGUACCUGCAGAAUAAGCACCGGCUAACUACGUGCCAGCAGCCGCGGUAAUACGUAGGGUGCAAGCGUUAAUCGGAAUUACUGGGCGUAAAGCGUGCGCAGGCGGUUCGGAAAGAAAGACGUGAAAUCCCAGAGCUUAACUUUGGAACUGCAUUUUUAACUACCGGGCUAGAGUGUGUCAGAGGGAGGUGGAAUUCCGCGUGUAGCAGUGAAAUGCGUAGAUAUGCGGAGGAACACCGAUGGCGAAGGCAGCCUCCUGGGAUAACACUGACGCUCAUGCACGAAAGCGUGGGGAGCAAACAGGAUUAGAUACCCUGGUAGUCCACGCCCUAAACGAUGUCAACUAGCUGUUGGGGCCUUCGGGCCUUGGUAGCGCAGCUAACGCGUGAAGUUGACCGCCUGGGGAGUACGGUCGCAAGAUUAAAACUCAAAUGAAUUGACGGGGGUCGAU